GCAGUCGAGCGCGAUAGGGGCAACCCUUAGUAGAGCGGCGCACGGGUGCGUAACACGUGGAUAAUCUGCCUGGAUGCUCGGGAUAACCAGUCGAAAGAUUGGCUAAUACCGGAUAAGCCCACGGUUUCUUCGGAGACUGAGGGAAAAGGUGGCCUCUGUAUACAAGCUAUCACAACCAGAUGAGUCCGCGGCCCAUCAGCUAGUUGGCGGGGUAAUGGCCCACCAAGGCAACGACGGGUAGCUGGUCUGAGAGGACGAUCAGCCACACUGGAACUGAGACACGGUCCAGACUCCUACGGGAGGCAGCAGUGGGGAAUUUUGCGCAAUGGGCGAAAGCCUGACGCAGCAACGCCGCGUGUGUGAUGAAGGUCUUCGGAUUGUAAAGCACUUUCGACCGGGACGAAAACCCGUAGCCCAACACGCUACGGCUUGACGGUACCGGGAGAAGAAGCACCGGCUAACUCUGUGCCAGCAGCCGCGGUAAUACAGAGGGUGCAAGCGUUGUUCGGAAUUAUUGGGCGUAAAGCGCGUGUAGGCGGCGUGACAAGUCGGGUGUGAAAGCCCUCAGCUCAACUGAGGAAGUGCGCCCGAAACUGUCGUGCUUGAGUGCCGG
rnacentral:rRNA from 1 species